AUUCACAUGAUGAACAGAAUAUUGUCCAUUGGAUAUCUUCUUCCAAAUCUGAGUAAUUUCUUACAGGAAUGUGAGCUGCGAUAAGUUGCCUAUCUCUCUUGGGAUAUUACCACUGAAGCUGCAUCCAAGCAAAAUCCUGGGAAAACCAACAUACCGUCAGCCUUCCUUCUCUUCUUUUUAUUUGCUGACCUUUGCAGAUCGCUCAGAAAACAAAUGUAGUAUUUAUAUUAUUACGAAGUGUCAUUUCUUACAGAGUUGUAAGCUGCUUCAGAUUUCCAAUUUUUGGAGUAAGUGGACCUCCGAGAUUUAGGUUGUUAGACAGAUCCCUGCAUGCAAUGUCAGUAGCUUAACAUUUUUUCUCUGUUCUUGAUCUCUAAGGUAAAUGGCUAGGUAACAUCUUAUCGACUGCACUCCUAUGUGUUGUGAUGGUAUUUUCUUAGGAAAAUACUAAACUUUUAUUGUUGCUAAAUUGAGUUAUUUUCAUAAUAGGACAUAGGACUCACAGAUACAUCAAAGCAGAUAGUUGGCCUACGGCAUCGCUUAAUGUACCUUGCAGGUUCAUGCUUGAACAGGAAAUUCCAUCCCAGGAGCUGCAGGGAUCGGUUGAACCUGUCCAGCUUUGUGGUCCAUUCUUCCAGUUAUUCAUCAAAGCCUGAAUGACAGGCAGUCCUGCUGAUUCAGGGGGAAAAACUACCAGUAGAUCUCAGUAUCUCACUUCUAUCUUAGGGGUCAACAGACACUCUGAAUAAUUGUAUCCUUGAAAGAAGGUGGCAUGCUUCCUAUAUCCUGAUGAAAUGCAAAAUAUCAAGGCUUACCAUCUUGGGAGUUUGUCUGGCUGAAGCUUGGCCGGAGCCCUACCAGGAGCAAGAACAGAAGGAGCGGCCAAUGCAUCGCCACUGUGCUGCACCCUCCAGGCUAGGCCUCCACGCAAAUCAAAGUGUCACCAGAUCACAGCCAACUCCGAUGGCCGUCCUUGGAGAAGCCUAUGCACGAACUAGUUAACGGACGAGCCAGCAGCUACCAAAUGGCGCCGCCUCCUUCCUGAGGAUGGAUGGAACCAGGCAAAGAAAACAACCUUUAAAGCAAAACAAUCUUACAUAACCAGAUUCAGAAGAAUCUCUCAUCAAUUAUUGACUAAGCUGAUUACCCGGUCCAAGCAACAGAUAUGCUCAUAAGAACGCACGCAUGCAAGGUUAUGGGAGGCCUUAAACAGGUCUACGAAGAGCUCGGUUGAACUGAUCAAAACAUGAUGGAGUGUUUGAUGACAACGUUCCUCGUUAGUAGUGGGGGCAGUUGCUUCUGGCGGCUGGGGCCUCAUCCAGCCAAUGGAGCUGGGAACCAGAUUUUGAUGUCCAAGUUAUUGUCACCUGGCAGCCAGCCCUGCUGAUGUGGAUAUGGCAUCAUGGCAAGGAUAUUAUGUAAGUUUCUCAGGGGCUCCAGAAUCUUUGAACGCAUGGCAGCGAGAAUGUGCAGAUGAAUCUACUAACUACUCUCCGUGGAAUCAUUAGAAGGUCAGCAGUGCAGAUGGUUCUGUAACACAAAUUAUUCAGCACGCUUAAUCAAACCUAUUCAGUUGGGUCUGACCAUGCUGUUUUUUGUUUUGAUCUUGAUGGGAGGCGGAACAAGACUAUGUUAUAUGUUCUUGAUUGAAGUGGAUCAGGAGGGCCAAGUUUGGAUGCACCUGCUCAACUGCUUCCUCUUGUUGGGAUUGCCAAAAGCUUUGCAAGACAGAUAAAAUUUGGUGCAUGACUGCUCCAGAAAAUGCAGCCGAAUCAACACCAAGGAAGGCUUGCACGCAGAAGGGUCCUUCCGCGUGGAGCCAAAGUGUGGCCGGCAGUCUGAUGCUUGCACUGGCCGAUGAAAGAUUUCUAGAGAAAUGAUGUGGUCGACGGAGUUUGGCGCUGCCCCUUAUGCCACUACUUCUUUUUGGAGGAUGCAAUGCGGUUUCUGGGGAGAUGAUGAAGGGUCAAUGGGAAAGGCAUACGCCGUUUACUUGUUACCUCGGUUUCAAAUUAUAAGUUACUCUAGAUUUAUCCCAAAUCAAACUUCUAUAACUCUAAUGAAGUUUAUAAAGGA